rnacentral:lncRNA from 1 species
CAAGAGGUAAGCUCAGAUCCACCCUUGUUAUGUGUUUUAAACAAGCAUUAAGUUGUUUUAUGGGUAGAGAUGCAUGUUUAGGCUUGUUGAUGAGUUUAUGGGUUUUGAUGUUUUGAUGAACAAUGUAUGUUGAUUUUGUGUGUUUGAAGUGUUGUAGUUGGGGUAUAUGUUUGUUUGAGGCCCCUAGGAGCUUGUAUGCA